UGGGGAAUAUUGCACAAUGGGCGCAAGCCUGAUGCAGCGACGCCGCGUGGGGGAUGACGGCCUUCGGGUUGUAAACUCCUUUCGCAACCGACGAAGCUUUUGUGACGGUAGGUUGAGAAGAAGCACCGGCUAACUACGUGCCAGCAGCCGCGGUAAUACGUAGGGUGCGAGCGUUGUCCGGAAUUACUGGGCGUAAAGAGCUCGUAGGUGGUUUGUCGCGUCGUUUGUGGAAUACCGCAGCUUAACUGCGGGGUUGCAGGCGAUACGGGCAUAACUUGAGUGCUGUAGGGGAGACUGGAAUUCCUGGUGUAGCGGUGGAAUGCGCAGAUAUCAGGAGGAACACCGAUGGCGAAGGCAGGUCUCUGGGCAGUAACUGACGCUGAGGAGCGAAAGCAUGGGG
rnacentral:rRNA from 1 species